rnacentral:rRNA from 1 species
UACGUAGGGCGCAAGCGUUGUCCGGAAUUAUUGGGCGUAAAGAGCUCGUAGGCGGUUUGUCGCGUCUGCCGUGAAAGCCAGGGGCUUAACCCUGAGCUUGCGGUCGAUACGGGCAUGACUGGAGUUCGGUAGGGGAGACUGGAAUUCCUGGUGUAGCGGUGAAAUGCGCAGAUAUCAGGAGGAACACCGGUGGCGAAGGCGGGUCUCUGGGCCGAUACUGACGCUGAGGAGCGAAAGCGUGGGGAGCGAACAGG